CCGAAGUCGAAGGCGGCGGAGGCUUGCACGAGUAAGUGCUCUUCGACUUGCAUGCAAGGCGGUUACGGUUCCCCCGGUGAAGGCCCGUUUAAUAUCCGGAGACCACUAGUUGUUUUCAAAGAUGGAUUUCGUAGUCGAAAAUAUUGGUAAGUUGUUUUCAAUUGAAUCUCAAUUUACUAGUAUUACUUCAAUUUGCAAUUCACUUGUACUGAUUUAAUUAUAAAGUACGCAAAUUUUUCUCUAGUAAUGUAAUUUAAUUCCUCAUCCUUAUU